GACGAACGCUGGCGGCGUGCUUAACACAUGCAAGUCGAACGGAAAGGCCCUGCUUUUGUGGGGUGCUCGAGUGGCGAACGGGUGAGUAACACGUGAGUAACCUGCCCUUGACUUUGAGAUAACUUCAGGAAACUGGGGCUAAUACCGGAUAGGAGCUCCUGCUGCAUGGUGGGGGUUGGAAAGUUUCGGCGGUUGGGGAUGGACUCGCGGCUUAUCAGCUUGUUGGUGGGGUAGUUGCUUACCAAGGCUUUGACGGGUAGCCGGCCUGAGAGGGUGACCGGGCACAUGGGGACUGAGAGACGGCGCAGAAGCGUACGGGAGGCAGCAGUGGAGAACAUGGCGCAAUGGGCCGAAGCCUGAUGCAGCAACGCCGGGUGCGGGAUGACGGCCUUUGGGUUGUAAACCGCUUUCGCCUGUGACGAAGCGUGAGUGACGGUAAUGGGUAAAAAAGCACCGGCUAACUACGUG
rnacentral:rRNA from 1 species